AGAGUUUGAUCAUGGCUCAGAACGAACGCUGGCGGCGUGGAUAAGACAUGCAAGUCGGACGAGAUUUUUCGUUGUAGCAAUACGAUGGAAAGUCUAGUGGCGAACGGGUGCUUAACACGUGGGCAAUCUGUCUUAAAGUGGGGGAUAGCUCGGCGAAAGCCGAAUUAAUACCGCAUGUGAUUAGAGUGGACAUCCAUUCGAAAUUAAAGGUGGCGCAAGCUACCGCUUUUUGAGGAGCCCGCGGCCUAUCAGCUUGUUGGUGAGGUAACGGCUCACCAAGGCUUUGACGGGUAGCUGGUCUGAGAGGACGACCAGCCACACUGGGACUGAGACACGGCCCAGACACCUACGGGUGGCAGCAGUCGAGAAUUUUUCUCAAUGGGGGAAACCCUGAAGGAGCGACGCCGCGUGGAGGAUGAAGGUCUUCGGAUUGUAAACUCCUGUCAUUGGGGAACAAGUCGCUUACGUUAACUGCGUGAGCGUUGAUAGUACCCGAAGAGGAAGAGACGGCUAACUCUGUGCCAGCAGCCGCGGUAAUACAGAGGUCUCAAGCGUUGUUCGGAUUCAUUGGGCGUAAAGGGUGCGUAGGCGGCGCGGUAAGUCGGGUGUGAAAUCUUGGAGCUUAACUCCGAAACUGCAUUCGAUACUGCCGUGCUUGAGGACUGGAGAGGAGACUGGAAUUUACGGUGUAGCGGUGAAAUGCGUAGAUAUCGUAAGGAAGACCAGUGGCGAAGGCGGGUCUCUGGACAGUUCCUGACGCUGAGGCACGAAGGUCAGGGGAGCAAACGGGAUUAGAUACCCCAGUAGUCC
rnacentral:rRNA from 1 species